rnacentral:lncRNA from 1 species
UGGAGAACGAUGAAGAACGAACCAGUUGCUGCACAAGUACAAUGUUGAGGAAGAUCCGACAGAUCCGGCUCCUCCUCCGCUCUCCUCUUCUCUCUCCCUAUUUUCUAGAUUACAACUAGAACUAACUAGAACUAGAACUAGAGGAACUAGAACUAGAACUAGAUGAACUAGAACUAGAUCUGGAUGAACUAGAGGUAGAACUAGAAGAACUAGAGGGAUCCUCUCUACUUGGAUGAAGAAUUGAAACCCUAGCUUUGAUUCUGUAGAAGAGGUAUGAUCUCCAGGGGCCAGGGGGUCUGGUUUUAUAGUCCCUUCAAGUGAAUAUGGGCCGUUGGAUCAAACCGACAUUGAUUGAACGGUUAUCCUUGAUCCUUUAGGUCGGUGGAGCAAUAUCCCAAAAGAGAGUCCUGAUUGGACCCUGUAUGAGGGCGGGCGCCCAGGAGAGGAGGGCGAGCGCCCUGUCCUUGAGUCCUCUCGGCCUCCGCUUCGGUCCCGUGGCUUCUAGAGUCUUCUAGAUGAUAGAAAAUUGUGCGGCACGUUAAUAUCUCUAUGUAAACCUGAUGUGUGGGCCUUUCUUCCAUAUUUCCUGAUAACCCCCUGCAGAAAUAGAAAAACACCAAAACUCGUGGAAUUCUAUCAGAUAAAACCCUAAGUCUAGGUGUUGGUUGCAUUUGGAUCCUUUUCCAUGAUUAGUUGAUGGUUAAAUGUGAGCAUUAAGGACCGUCAACAAGCUCCCCCAAGCUUAACCUUUGCUCGUCACUGAGCAAAGAUGAACUCAAGAGUUUCUACAGUGGUUUCAUGCCUUAAAGGUACACAUGCGUUCAAACAAGAUCUCAUCUCUGGGUUAGGGUAAACUGUUAAGAUUUAAACUUACUCAUUUUACCUUUCACCAUGGGACUUGUAACCGUCACUUCUGUCUUGAGUAGUUAAAAGAUAGAACGGUCUAGUCAAGCGUAAUGUCUCUUGUUCUUCGAUUAACUAUAACUCUGGAGUUUUUGCAGAUUUUCAAAUAAAACUCAGAGAUUCCUUGUAUGACUCUCUCUAGUCUCUCUUUUGUGGUAUUUCUGGAUCCUUACCAAGGCAGUAAUGGUAUAUGCCUUCUCUCAAAUUAUGUAGUAUUUUUGGUAUGAGGCAUAGUGGCAUUGCCUUCUCUCUCACCCUACUCUAAUAAGGUUUUAAUAUCUGGAGCUCAUAGGUGGGAGACAACAAAUACAUACUUACAAGACAUUUAUUGCAUAGUCAAACCAUGGAUCUAGAAGAAUAAGUCAAUAAGUCAAAUCAAGAUGUGCAUGUGUGGCGAAUGAAUGGUGAUCACAAUGGUGAUGAUGGUGAUAACAAUGGUGAAAGUCUAAUUCUACGUUUGCUCUUUUGAGGGGAUACAUACCUUUCUUGCACUUUGAAGCUUUUUGAGGGGAAUGAGAUGCUCUAUAUUUUCCUUUUUUUUCUUUUCUCUCAGGUGGGUAUCUUGUACCCCUAAUUCUACUGUCGGACACUUGUCCAUUUUUACCUCUCGUCUCACUUUUUUCUUUUCUUUCGAGGUUCCGGGCACUUGCCCCUUUUUAUUUCCUCGUAUUUUUUUCUUCUUUUUUUUAGAGCACUCAUCUCUUGAAAUAAUGUAGCAAGUGGCAGUAACUAGAUAAAUUGAGCAUUUAUUUCACAGGGGAAAACAGAAAUGUUUUUGGCUAUUCUCUCCCGGAUUAGGAGUAGAAUAUUUUUGGGUGGUUCUGGAGAUGGAAAUGGGUGGAUAUAUGUGGAUGCAUACUUCCAUAGUAGAAGCAACAUGUGUGAGUGAACGUGCAAGUGAAUCUUGAUUUAACCACAUGACAAGCUCCUAAGGGUCUACACAGCUUGACCACACUCAAUGCUCAUAAGCAGUAAAAAAGUAAAUGUAUGGCUCAAAGUCUAGCAAGCAUGUAUAUAUGGCUGUGGUAUGAUUUUAAACUCUCAUCAUACAGGAACUCAUCAUGCAACAUUUUAAAGAUUUUCAGAGAUAAAAUUCUCCAGAAUUCUAGCAUCUCUAGGAACAGAUAAACAGCAGCUCAACCUUCCCAUAUCGUAUCCGUUAACGACUUAGACUUUAGAUCAAGUACUCUUCCCACAAGUUCAGGUUUAGAGCAAAUCUUAAUUAAUAAUAGUCAUGCCUAAACUUAAGAGAGAUUUCAAUUUUGAGAACUAGUCAUGGUAGAGCAACUAUUCAUCAUUUCCAUAUGAGAGCUUAUCAUGCAGGUUCAUAGCAAACUUUAUUUAUUUAUUUAUUUAGCAAACUAAGCAAAGAUAUAUGUAUAUAAGCACAAAAUCUUUAUUUGGGUUUAUAUGAUUAUGCAUCUUUUUAUUAUUAGAGUAAAGUAUAAACGUGAGUAGAAUACUUAGCUAGAUAAAUGGGGGUGCUCUCCCCCAAGCUGGAUUUUGACGUAAUUUCUUUUGAUGUAGCUAGCAGGUGGCGGAGGUGUAUUUGAAUGUCGGCAGCACCCUGACAGCGAUUAGGAUGUCCUCCGUCAGCUAGUCUUCUUUGAUCCUUGAAUUCUGUGGAGCUCAAAUAGACAACAAAGCUUUGUGCAACUGGUUAAGUGUUAGCUUAAAUAUCCAGCCUUUAUCAUGUUGAGCCUCCUAAAUAAAUGUUACUCUCUUUAGUAGGAUCAUUUAUUUUUAUAUAUAUUUUUCAAGAUGAUAUGAACCUGAUUAACUAAGCAAACUAUUUUAAACAAUUUAAAGUAAAAGGAUAACUACCAAGUUUACCUCUUGGCAAGGCGUUCGGUGUUUUUAAGUCCUCCGAACGGAACUCUUCAUUUUCUCAGUCGUCCUGGGAUUCGAUGGAUGGCGUAGUCAGUGGUUCCGGCGGCGCCUUCUCUUCAUGUAUAACUAUCUUCUCUCUCCACACCUGACUUGGUGCUACGUUCUCCUCAAGACAGUUCUGUUCAAGUUGUAUGUCUUCAGACCUUACCACUUUUCCUUCGUAGUCUGCUCAUCCGUCCUUGAUGAUUUUCCUCCUCUGGUUACGGUUGCGUCGUCUUCUUCUUGUCCCGACCUGCUUAGAGUCUUCAACUAUAUAGUUAAGGUUAGUAAAAUAGCGGUGUACCUUCUGAGAGAGGAGGUGCAUGUGGACUUCUCUGGUUCCAAUGUAGAUGAUUGCUUUAACAGAGCUGAGGAACGGUCUUCCAAGGAUGAUGGGUGGAUCGUACUCAUCUUCACCCAUGUCAAUAACCUUCAAAUCAUCUGGAACUGAAUGUAUGUUGAUUAUAGGGGCAUGAUUCCAUGCAGGAGCUGAUAAGUAACUGCGGCCAUUAUGUUGACGUCAGAUCCGGUGUCGUAGAGUGUCUUCUGAAAAGAAUAUCCGUUGAUUGUGCACUCGAUACUUGGAACAUCAGGGUCGUCCUUCCUGAUCAAGAAAGGCGACUUGAGUUGAUGAUCUUGACCUCCUUGAGUUGUAGUGACCAUCUUAGCUGACUCAGUCUACAUUUGCCUGUUCUUGUUCCUCCUUUUGGUCCUUUCCUUGGUUCAUGUCAGGAUUGCUCUGAGAUUUGUGUAGUCUUGUUCUUGAAGGAAAAUGUCUCCUUCUUCAUCUUCAUGUAGAUACUGAUUUUGGCAGCACUAGUGUAGAUGACAGCUCCCGAGGUGUUUAGGAAUGGCCUCCCUAGGAUGAUGGGUGCCCUCUCAUUAGCACCAGUCUCUAUUACCACGAAGUCUGCUGGGCGUACAAGGUACCAACUCGGAUGCAGAGGUUCUUCAAUAUUCCUUUUGGGAAACUUAGCGUCCGAUCUGCAGGCUGCAAACACAUGGUUGUUUCUAGUAAAGGAUGUGUAAAGAAUUUUUUUCAUAGAGUACCCUGGGCAUAAUGUUGACGCUGGAGCCAAAGUCGUAGAGUGCUUCUAGGAAGUCCACCAUGCCGAUGGAGAUCGGGAUGAUGGGGCGUCCUGGAUUGUCUCUCUUGACCGGCAGAAGGUCAGUAAUUACUUCCAUAACGGGGUUACUCCAGUAGUUACGUCCUCAAGCAUCUCAGGGCAGUGAUUGCCUCAGUGUCCAGUAUCUCCAGUGUGUUUGUGCUCAUAGAUCUAGGUUCUUCACUUGGUGGAGUCUGGGAGUUAUAAAAGUCCUUCAUAUUUUGCUCGAAGUGUACCUGCUCAUAGAGACAAGGCAGAGAUCAAGUGCAUGGGCCCUGUUGGUGGAAAACACCAACAGAACCAAAAGUGUAUUUGUUCUCUCUAACCUUAAGCAUAGUGAGCAAGACAAAGUUGAUGGAUAAUAAGAUCAUGAGUGUAGCAUUUAAAACAUUUGUUAGAUCAGAUCGCUCAACCUAAUGGAAAGAUAAUCUAUCUAUACUUAUGUUGUUUUUUUAUAAAAUAUAUCUUCCAAAGAUUGAGUGUGCAACAUUUUAGCUUAUAUGAUUAGGAGUGUAGGAUCACAAAGGUAGUACUAUAAACAAAGAUUAAAGGACUAAACAUGCUGAAUCAGUUGGGUUGGUUAAUUUGGAGUUAUAAAUCAUACAUGUUUGUCUUUUUAUUCAUGUGAACGCCAGAACCAAGGAGAAGCUUAUAAAAGUGAUAGUCAAGUACCUUAAGAUGUUACCUUACUUGAAGAGUGAUGGUACAUUAUCACCUUGUGGAAGCUUUCCUUUCUUAGCGGUUAUGCAUCGUGCUUGUGGCACCCUCCAUGGAUCAUCUCUUGUGAGCUAUGGCUUCCUUGUGUAAAUUGUUAACCUUCAUGCGUCUCUAUCUUUGUCUCCAAUGUGAGUUUAUCUCAGGACUUCCCAGGUCGAUAUUGAAUGUUUUCCUGCAGGGGUUAGUCCAACAAAAUGUCCAAUAUCUACUAUAGCAUACUAUUGGCUCAAAAAUCAACCUAGACACCAUGUCUAAUUUGAUUUAGGAGGGCAUUUUAACCUAAGCACCAUGCUUAAUUUAAAAUCCCUUGGAAAUAAGAUCAUUAUUCCUAAACUAAGCACCAUGCUUAAUUAAGAGAUAAAUGAAACAACUCCAAACCUAGACAUAUACUAAAGCAAAUAAAGGUGGUAUGAGAGCAUUUAUAGAGAUCUACUCAAGUGGAGAUGAAGUAGUGUGAUUAGUAUCCAACAAAUUGAGCAUGUCUCAAAGGUAGGGACAACCAACAUAACAUCAUGGCAAAGGAUGUUUUUAUGUAAAGCACUCCCCCAAGCUUGAAUUUUGCAAAAUUCAAGUUUGGAUGAAUUUAAUUCAAUGUUGUAUGAUGAUUGGUUGGACAUACCUUGUGCUUGUUAUUCAUCCGAUCUUCUUGCUCCAAUCCUGGAAAGGUUAGUGACAAGAAUACCCGAAGGAAUUUUUUUUUUACAAUUAUCCUUAUAUGCUCAAUAUAUAAGGUAAUGUUGCAAAUAAUUAAAAGCUCAUGUUACGAUCUGAUCAGUGCUUAUUUUAGGACAUUAAGCUUGUCCUUGGGAAACAUCAAUUUAUGUCGGCGAAGUGGUUUCCCCUCCAACGCUGACCUAUAUCAAGAUAACUCAACGAGAUCUGCAAUAUUUAUUAUAGACAUAUGCAUCGACAACCGUCCUUUUAAAGUUUUUAUAAAUAGAAAGGAAGAGGGGGUUGGAGAUCUCGAAUGUGGUGAUGUUGGAGAGACCAAUGGAUCGUGAAGAUGUUGCAUAUGAGCAUGGAGUAAACGAAGUGGCUAUGAAAUAAAUUCCAUGCUCAUUAAUGCGGAGAGUGAAAUCCAUGUGGUGUGGUGAAAAUGGUAAGGUGAGUGUGGUAAAAAAGGAAAAGAAAAAGGAUACACAGACGAGUUGGUUCGAAACUAGCACAGCUACCGUUCCCCGGCAACGGCGCCAGAAAGCUUGUUGGGUAUUUUAAACGCAAACAGAAAAAUCCGCAAGCACACGGGUACCGAUGUAGCUUUCACUCGGGAGUAUUCCAGAGUAUCGAUUUUCCACAGAGAACGUGAGUGUACUAAUUAAGAUCCAAGAUCGCCCAAGGAUAACUAUAUAAUUAUUUUUGGUGGGAAGAGAGGAAGUUUCCUCAGAGUUCUCUAGUUGAUCUAAGAAUCAAGAAUUACUUCAAGAUUAUCUAUAUCGGGACAUCAGAGCACUAACCGCAGAAAGAGAUGAGAAGGGGGCUAGGAAGGUCUGACUACGGUCCUACAAACACCGAUCCAAACGUGGUGGAAUACGUCGACCGUUAGGGCUGUCACUACCCUAAGGCUUGGGUGCAAUUCUAGGUAAUUGCAAGACUAAACACCACAUCUAAUCUAUUAAUUACUACUCUAGCGUUAUAAAGACUAGAGCACUUGAUGCAAGCGGGAAUCCAAUAAAUAACUUGAAUGUAAAUAAAAGUAAUUAAAGAACUCUGGAAUUGUGAAUUGAAGAACCUGGAGAACGAUGAAGAACGAACCAGUUGCUGCAAAAGUACAAUGUUGAGGAAGAUCCGACAGAUCCGGCUCCUCCUCCGCUCUCCUCUUCUCUCUCCCUAUUUUCUAGAUUACAACUAGAACUAACUAGAACUAGAACUAGAGGAACUAGAACUAGAACUAGAUGAACUAGAACUAGAUCUAGAUGAACUAGAAGUAGAACUAGAAGAACUAGAGGGAUCCUCUCUACUUGGAUGAAGAAUUGAAACCCUAGCUUUGAUUCUGUAGAAGAGGUAUGAUCUCCAGGGGCCAGGGGGUCUGGUUUUAUAGUCCCUUCAAGUGAAUGUGGGCCGUUGGAUCAAACCGACAUUGAUUGAACGGUUAUCCUUGAUCCUUUAGGUCGGUGGAGCAAUAUCCCGAAAGAGAGUCCUGAUUGGACUCUGUAUGAGGGCGGGCGCCCAGGAGAGGAGGGCGGGCACCCUGUCCCUGAGUCCUCUCGGCCUCCGCUUCGGUCCCGUGGCUUCUAGAGAGGUAUGAUGCUUAUGGAUGAUAGAAAAUUGUGCGGCACGUUAAUAUCUCUAUGUAAACCCGACGUGUUGGCCUUUCUUCCAUAUUUCCUGAUAACCCCUGCAGAAAUAGACAAACACCAAAACUCGUGGAAUUCUGUCAGAUAAAACCCUAAGUCCGGGUGUUGGUUGCAUUUGGAUCCUUUUCCAUGAUUAGUUGACGGUUAAAUGUGAGCAUUAAGGACUGUCAACAGAGACAUGGCAACAACGUGAAGAUCGGUAUCGGCGCCAACAGGAGGAUCUUAGAUGGGAAGAGGAAAGACGCCGACAAGAGUGGAAUCGGCAUAAAGAUCACUAGAACUACCCGUUCUUUAUCCAUUGUUGGGAGCAAAACAUCAAACUGCCCACUGUUAGAGACUGCCCAGAGUGCAAUGGUUAUGAUCGGUACGAUAGACCUAAUCGGCAGUAUCAGAACAAUGAUCGAUGUUUUGAUGGGCCGAUUAGGGAAAGUGUAACACCCUAGGUGUUAAGCAUGCACUUAGUCUCAUAAACUCAUCCAUAAGCAUUCUUAUCAAGCAUAGCAUCACAUGAGCAUGUCAUUCAUUCAAGUGUGAUUUUAUGUGUUUUAUUUCAUGAGAAUUAAAUAUAGUAAAAAUAUCAUGCUUGCUCCUAAAUUUCUUGAAAUGCCCAAAAUUAGGUUGAAAUAUGUGUUAGAAGAAUUAAGAGUAAUUUUGUGAAAUUUUUGGAGCUAUAGAAAUUGAGAAAUUGAUUUUAUAUGCAAUUUUCUAUCAUCUAGAUAACUCUAGAAGCCACGGGAACGAACGGGAGGCCGAGCGGGCUCGGGGGCAGGGCGCUCGCCCUCCCCCCUUGGGCGCCCGCCCUGUCCCAGUGUCUAAUCAGGACUCGCUUCGGCGAUUAUGCUCCACCUACCUAAAGGAUCAAUAAUAACCGUUCAAUCAAUGUCGGUUUGAUCCGACGGCCCAGAUUCACUUGAGGGGACUAUAUAAGUAGACCCCCUAGCCCCUGGAGGAGGCACCCCUUGAUCCCUAUUCAUUAUUCAUAGACAGAGCAAAAGCUAGGGUUUGGAGAUGAGAGCUCUCCUCUCUUCUCUAAACUAGAGUAGAUCUAGACAGUAGCGAGAUGGAGAGCAAGGGUGGAUUGGAGGAGAGGCCGGCCUGUCGAUUCUUCCUCUGGUUGUACUUCGCCAUGAUCAAGCUCUAAUCAAGCUUGCUCAUGGGAUGACUCUGGUAAUCUACUUCUAAUUUAUUAUGCAAUUACUAAUCAUGUAUGUUCUGGUUCACAACUCUCUAUUCCCAUAUUAUCACCCAUUGUUAUCUUACCUUUAAUAUUGUUCUUAUUCAAUUCUACCAUAUUUCCUAUUUACACUUAUCUAUCUAUCUUGGUUAAGUUAGAGCGUAGUUGGUUCUCCCGUUUCCCUAUGGAUACGAUAAAACCUUUAACCGGGUAAUGUCGACGAAAGCUAGUCGGCAGUCUACCUUGGGGUAUACCCACGGUAGUAGUUUAUCGGUAGACGGUGCGCAAACUACGAACUCGAUGGUGACGCAAGACACGGACAAGCUUUUUAUCCAGGUUCGGCCGCCGAGUUGGCGUAAUACCUACGUCCUGCGUCUGGUUGUAUUGGAUUGUGUUGAGAGAUAAUGAUGUCCUAGGGGGGUCCCUUGCCCCUCCUUAUAUAGUCUGGAGGGCAGGGUUACAGAUCUGGAAACUAAUCCUAGUCGGUUACAAUUGCCAUAGAUAAUUCGAUAUCAAUUCCUAUUCUAACCGACUAGAAUCCUGCUUGAUCUCCAUGUCUUGUUUCCUUGCGCGAAACUCCGAGCUGUCGGAUCAAGCCUUGAACUUGUCUCGUAGUGGGCCAAGCUUCCUGGCUGAAGUCUAGCCGUAAGGGUAUAGGGGUUUAUACCCCCACAGCUAGUCCCCGAGCACCAUGUAUUGUGAUGCAACACGCCGUCUUGAGCUUCUUCAAUCAGCGAGGCUUGGCGUCUUCAAUAAGUGGGAAGGUCGCCCAAACAGUUGCAACGGUUCCUUGACCAACUCGAAAGACAGUUGAUCAACAUUGACAUCGAAGAAGCAGGUUGUUCGAAGAAUGCAUGGUGCUCUUAAAAAAAAUUUCUUUCCUGGUGAAGUGUGCCCACUUUACCUUUUUGAAAGGUAAAAGCAUCUAAAAAGCAGGCAAAUUCACCGCUAGGUGAAGUGUGCCCACUUAGUCCCCGAGCCUGGUAGUAGGUGACGUAGGCACGUGGUGCCAGGGUCAAAAGAAAAUUCCCAAAGUAGUUUUGAGACUGAGAUGCAUCGCUAGAUGCAUCGUACCGAUGUAGUCCCCGAGCUUGCUGGAAGGCGAAUUAUGAGCCUUGUAGCAAGGUCUAAAGUGAAUUUACCAGUCCCCGAGCAUGUCAUGCUCGCCUGCAAUUGAAAAGACCAAUCGACCAGUCCCCAAGCACUUAGUGUGCUUCUUGGAAUUAUAUGUUGCUAUACUGUACGACCAGUCCCCGAGCGUCGAGUGCUCAGUGGUCGGUGCAUGCUUUAAAGCUUUGAGCUGAUAGACUGAGCGACCAGUCCCCGAGCGUCGAGUGCUCGGUGGUCGGUGCAGUCAUUGAAGUUCCGAGCUGAUAGACUGGGCGACCAGUCUCCGAGCGUCGAGUGCUCGGCGGUCGGUGCAGUCCUUGAAGUUCUGAGUUGAUAGACUGGGCGACCAGUCCCCGAGCGUCGAGUGCUUGGUGGUCGGUGCAGUCCUUGAAGUUCCGAGCUGAUAGACUGGGCGACCAGUCCCCGAGCGUCGAGUGCUCGGUGGUCGGUGUAGUCCCCGGAUUGUUGACUCACUGGCGUAUGUGUCUUCUUACUUUUGAAAAGAUCUUUCUAGUUAAAGUUGACGUGACGAGGUCUCCUGACGAUAUGUCAGACGGAUGCAUGAAAAGUUGCACCUGGCAACUGUACAACCGCUCUUUGCAUGGUUUGAGAAAAGGAAACCAUCAAUUGGUACGAAAACUCCGCCGCAUUAAUUGUCUAUAAUCAUUGUAAACCGAAACGCCGCGUCCGCCGCAUGGCCUGCCCACUUCCCGAGAAUACAGGAAGUGGGAGAGGUGGAGUCGCGGGUUUAUAAGGGCCUAAUAGGUCCGCCUGUACCGCUUCGCCUGCCAUUGCCUUCAAACCUUCCGCUCUCAUCUUCUCCAAUCUCCUGCAUCUUCCUAACUCUAGCCCACAUUCGCACCUCUAAUGGCGAAGAGCGACUCCAGGAAGAGGGCCGAACUGAUGGCCAAGGAGUGGAAGAAGUCUCGCAGCACCACAAAAUCUCUUGGUGACCUCAUCGAUAUGGGGCUUCUGCACGGCGCAGAACUCGGCGGCUGGAGGGCACCGGAGGGGGAGAGCUACCCCGACCCUCGCGCCGGUGAGAUCGUCGUUUUUGAAGAUUUCGUUAAGAGAGGCUUUGGUGUUCCUGUUCAUCCUUUUCUUCAAGGUCUUCUUUUGUACUAUGAGAUCGGGAUUUGCAAUCUGCACCCGAACUCAAUUCUCCUUAUUUCCACCUUCAUCCACAUGUGCGAGGCCUAUGUUGGCAUAGAGCCGCACUUCGAUCUUUUCCGGUAUCUUUUCUGCUUGAGGAAGAAGGGAGCAGUUGGAGGCUCCAAGGUUGCAGGUGGAGUAUACCUCAACCUUCGUGAUGGGAUGAAGAAUCGCUACCUGCACUGCCCAUGGAACACUUCCUUGACCGAAUGGUACAGGAAGUGGUUCUACAUCAGGGAGGAACCGGGCAGCUCCACGUUCUGCGACGUGGGAUACAUUCCUGAGAAGAGGACGAGCUGGACCGACCGCCCGGAGUUCGACGGUCCAGUGGCGGAUCUCAUGAAGCUGAUCGACUGGUCGCGCCUAGACGGGCUUGGCGUGGUCGGCAACUUCAUUUGCCGCCGGGUGAUGCCCUGCCAGAAGAGGGUGCACUCGGCGUACGAGUAUGCCGGAAGCGCAGACCUGACCAGGAUGCGGUCGGAGAUCUUGGAGAAAGCGGAGGUACAACAGCUGUUGAACGAGCUGUUUAACUUCGCGGAUGGGGGCUUCAUCCGUGGCAGUGAUCGGGUGCAAGCCUUCAAGUUAGGACGACCAGCACCAAAGGUAUGUAGCAGAUUCUGUUUGAUCAUUCGUAUAUCGUCUGCAGUUGACUCAUCUCUGUUGCUUUUGCAGGUCGGCGAUGUCGACCGGUGCACAGUGUAUGUAUCACUGGCACCGGGGAUGGAAAAUCCUGCGGGAGAGGUCCCGCCAGAGGAGGACGCUGCUCGGUGUACUCAUUACACCAGCAGUGAGGAAGACCAAGCCCGCCCCGUCCCGACCUCCGAGGAGAGGGUAGCGGGGAAAAGGCCAUUGCCGGCAGAUCCCUUGCCGACACCGGAGCUGCCGGCAGAUCUACCGGCGGAGAGCAGCCAAGCACCGAAGCGUCGUCGUCUCGUGCGGAUCGUCGACGACGACGACGACGAGGAGGCUGCGCCGUCGUUGGUCCGACGGCCUCGGAGCCGCCCAGACACUGCGCCGGUCGCCACUGAUCGAGUGGCCAGCGGCGCCGCUGCCCCGCAAGUUGUCGAGAUGGGGGCACAGGUGCCGACCGGCCGGGCGAGGAGGAGGUUCACCGCGACCCACCGUCGGUCAGACCUGUAAGUGUUCGACUUACGUAUUUUGGACUCCUCUUUUUUUUUUUACCUUUUGUUCCUGUAGUGCGGCAUCGGAUGUCGACCCUGGCCAAACUGCCAGCCAGGGAACGGGCGAGCCUGCCCGCGGUUCUGGGGAUGCGGCCCCCCAGACCACAGAGCAGCCAACAGCUGCAGUCGCGCCUGGGAGCACCGAGGGGCUCCCGAGCGCGGCGCCGACUACAACAAGCAGCCCGACCAGGGCUGGAGAGGCUCCCCCAACGGACUCCUCAGAGAAGGGAAGAUCUCCGACCGCUCCUCCUGCCGGGGGGAGUGAAGUCCCCCCGCCGCCCCGAGCAGGGGCCUCUUCGGCUGCGGGCUCCCCAGGUCUGGUCCAAGGGCCAGUAAUACCUGGGACCACCACCGGGGGUGACGCAGCACAGGAGGAGGAAACCCGGGCGGCCUCCGAUGACGAGGUGGAAGAGAUCGAAGGUCGUCCCCGUGAUGGCCGCCAACACGUGUAUGUGUGGCGCCAACGCGGGGAUCACUUUAUCGGGCAUGAGGAGCUCGCCGAGACCGAAGAGGCCGCCAGGGUGGAGCGCGCGGCCAAGCGCCUCGUCGACGAAGUCAAGGUAAGCGGCUUUUUGUACUGCUGCGCAUUCUUUUGCCUUGUCUUGCAUGGUCGUUAUAUGCUUGCUUUGUAGGACGUAAUGAAAACGGCGAAGUACCGGAAACGGUGCUUUGACCAGAUAGAAGGCGUCAUGGCCGAGAACAAGGCCCUUGCCGCGGAGGUAGACCGGUUGCGGGCGGAGGUCGGGGAGAAGGUGGUCGAGAUGAGUGCCGAAAAGGAGCGUCGUCUCGACCUCGCUCGUCGUUUGGCCGACCAGUACCGGCUGCAAGAAGGUUAGUCACACGCUCCGAGCAGCUUCGCGUACUUGUAUAGUGUGCUUUGCUGACCAGUUUAGGAUUCACGCAGACUUGGAGGAGGAGGUGGCGAGCCUCCGACAAGAGAAGGAGCAGCUCAGCCAACAGCUCGCCGGUGCGCUGGAGUCCGGGCGGCGAGCAGAAGAGGAAUUGGGUCGAAAAGACCGGGAGCUAUCUGGUAAUGGUUGCCGCCUUGUUGGUUGCUGCCUGCCCCUUUGUUUGUUUAGUAUGCCGAAAAUAGCGCUUCGUUUCGUUUGCAGUGCUCAAGGUGAACGCCAAAAAGCACCUGGAUGAUCUGGUCAAGGAUCGGGACUCCUGGAAGGUCAACUGUUGUAGGAUCUGGAAAGGAGUGUCCCCGGUCCUAGACCUCAUCAGUCCCGAGCUCCCGGAGAGCCAGCCCCGCGCGCCGCAAUUGACCCCGGUCGAGAAGGCGCAACGGGCGUGGGACUGGCUCCAGCAGUUCGUGAAGGACGCCGGGGAGUUUGCGGGCGCGCACGUCCUCAGCAUGGUGCGCGCCCACUACCCCCUGGUCGACUUGAGCAGGCUGGAGAAGGGGUACCCGAAGGAAGUCGGCCCACAGGAAGCGGACGAACUCCGGGGUAGUCUGCUGGACUUGUCGUCGACAGUGAUCGGCGACAUCAAUCUGUGCGGAAUGGCCACUCCUCCAGACCAGCCGAGUUCAGAUAGGUCGGCCAGGGAGUUGUCGGGCGCGUCCGUUGCGGGAGAUGGGCGGUCGACGCCUGCGGUCUCGACCAGCCAGGCGCCGGUGGCCCCGACCCCUUCGUCCGGGCAGCAGGGCCAGGCAGGUGAUCAGCCCGAGCAGCUAGGCCAAUAAAGUAGUCUGUAGGAAUAGACUAGUGUCUGCCCGUCAGGGUAUUUAUUGUAAACUUUGUAUGUAAAGUUUGUAAUAAAGUUUGCUUUUUGUCAUGACUGUUGUUUUGAGCGCUGUAAGAAUAUCUGAGUGACGUGUUACCGUAUUUGUCUUGGUUGUCGCUAAGAGCAUCCGUUGCAGGAGUUUUGCCGAGUGCUGUGUGUGACAAGGUAUGGGCCAAAAAUAGAGAAUUUCAUUAUCAAAAAUUAUAAGAUACUUACAAAAGAAAGUCAUUAAAACUUUAUGGAUAGAAACGUCGCAGUUUGUCGAUGUGCCAAGAGUUAGGCACUCGUGUUCCGUCUGGGUAUGCCAAUCUGUAGGACGUAGGUCGUGUGACCUCGGUCACCACGAAGGGUCCUUCCUAGGGAGUGGACAGCUUGUGCAUUCCCUCCUGGCUUGUUUUCCAUCGAAGCACCAGAUCGCCGACCACGAAAGAACGGUCCUUGACAUUCCUGUUGUAGUAUCGCCUGACUGCUGCGAGAUAUUUUGCUGUUCGGAGACACGAAACUAAACGCUUUUCCUCCAUGCAAUUGAUUUCGAGUUCCCUGGCGUUGUCGGCGGUCGCCUGGUCGAAGUGCUCGAUUCUAGGAGAUCCGAAGUGUAUGUCAGACGGCAAGACCGCCUCUGCACCGUACACCAUGAAGUAGGGAGACACCCUUGUGUUUCGACUGGUCUGAGUUCGGAGGCCCCAGACCACUGCCGGCAAUUCUUUCAUCCAUCGACCGGGUGCUCUGUCGUUUUCGGUGUACAACCUUUUCUUUAGGGCGUCAACGAUCAUUCCGUUAGCACGUUCAACUUGACCGUUGGCACGUGGAUGUGCCACUGACACAUAUUUUAUGACUAUGCCUCUGUCAUCGCAGAAAUCCCAAAAAGUGGUGCCAGUAAACUGAGUGCCCAGGUCGGUGAUUAUGCUGUUCGGGAUGCCGAAUCUGUGUAUGAUUUGAUUGAGGAACUCCACAGCCUUCUCGGAGGUUGCCUUGACCAGGGGCAUGUAUUCAAUCCACUUGGAGAACUUGUCGAUUAACACGAAGACAAACUUGAAAUUGCCCGACGCUGGUUUAAAUGGUCCGAUCAUGUCAAGCCCCCAGCAAGCGAAGGGCCAAGACGACGGGAUGGUUUGAAUUUCAUGGGCAGGUACGUGGGUCCUCUUAGCGAAAAACUGACAUCCUUCGCAAUGCCGAACCAGUUUUUCUGCGUCGCCGACCGCGGUUGGCCAAUAAAAACCUGCUCGGAAAGCCUUUCCGACCAGCGUUCUAGAUGCGGCGUGAUUGCCGCAGGAUCCGGCGUGUAUGUCCUCCAAGAGCUUGAUACCAUCAUCUUGGGGUAUGCACUUGAGCAGUACUUCGGAGCUUGCGUUUUUCCGCAUGAGUUUUCCGUCGACCAGGAUGUAGUUCUUUGAUCGUAGGAUGAGGCGCUCGUUCUCUGUUUUGUCCUGAAAGCCUGUCCCGUCUGAUAUGUCUGAUAUGUAUUUGAUGAACGGGGUACGCCAGUCACGCCCACCGGUUGUCGGAGUGGCAUCAUCUAUGAGCAUUGCCUCGGUGUGUUGCUUGUCGACCAGGGGGAGCUUACGCUUGGCUCAUGGAUAUCCUGGACGAAAAUACCCCGCGGGAUUUGGGCCCGAGAUGAGCCUAACUUUGACAACGCAUCUGCUGCUUGGUUCUUAUCCCGGACCACGUGGAUGUACUCUAUGCCAUAGAAGUUAGUUUCCCAUUUGCGAAUUUCUUUGCAGUAGAGAUCCAUCUUCUCGUGGGUUGCGUCCCACUCCUUGUUGAGCUGGUUGAUGACCAAAGCGGAGUCGCCGUAGACAUAGAGGCGCUUGACCCCCAGUUCAACGGCUAGUCGUAUGCCAUGUAAGCAUGCUUCGUAUUCGGCGACGUUGUUUGACGCCGGAAAAAGGAUCCGAAUGACGUAACGGAGUUUGUCCUUGUUGGGUGAUACGAACAAUAUCCCAGCGCCUGCACCGUUGAUGUUCAAGGACCCAUCAAAGAACAUUGACCAGUGGUCUGAGACAUCUGGAACGGAAGGCUCGUUGAGAUCCGUCCAUUCGGCAAUGAAAUCGACCAGGGCUUGAGACUUGACAGUGGUGCGACUCUGGAACUCUAGGGAAAAUGGACAUAAUUCCAUUGCCCAUUUCACGAUUCUGCCAUUGGCGUCUUUAUUGCGCAGGAUGUCCUCGAGAGGAAAGCUGGUUGUCACCAGGACUCGAUGGCCGUCGAAGUAGUGCUUCAGCUUUCUUGACGUUAUCAGGAUGGCGUAUAUAAGCUUCUGUAUUUGUGGGUACCUGGCCUUGGAUUCGUUUAAAACUUCGCUUAUGAAGUAAACGGGUCUCUGGACUUUGAAGACGUGACCUGGUCCAUCUCGCUCGACCACUAUUGCCGUGGAAACAACCCUGUCGGUUGCAGCAAUGUAAAGGAGUAGGUCUUCAUUGGGCUGAGGCGCUGUGAGGACAGGCGGUGAAGUGAGGAAGGUCUUAAGCUGAGUGAACGCAGUGUCGGCUUCCUCUGUCCAAGAGAAUUUUUCUGACGCUUUCAUUAGUUUGAAGAAAGGGAGGCCUUUUUCUCCCAGCCUUGAGAUGAAACGACUGAGGGCGGCCAUGCAUCCGGUUAGCUUCUGAAUAUCCUUGACGUUCUUCGGUGGUCGCAUGUCGAGUACGACUUUGACUUUUGAAGGGUUUGGUCGUAUGCCGUCGCGACUGACGACGUUGCCGAGCAGUAGACCGGAAGGAACGCCGAAAAUGCAUUUCUUGGGGUUGAGCUUCCACUUGUACCUAUUGAGUGCCUUGAAGGUUCGGUCUAAGUUGUCGAUUAGGGUGCUCGCGUCCCUUGUUUUUACGACCACGUCGUCCACAUAGGCCUCGACGAGGUCAUCGCGAAUCUCGUCGUGGAGGCAUUGCUGGAUGGCCCUUUGAUAAGUGGCCCCGGCGUUUUUAAGUCCGAAAGACAUGGUAGUGUAACAGUAUGCGCCGAAGGGUGUGAUGAAGGAUGUUUUGAUCUGAUCUUCUUCCUUUAACGAGAUCUGGUGAUAACCAGAGUAGCAAUCUAGAAAGGAGAGGAGUUCGCAUCCGGCCGUUGAGUCGACCACCUCGUCGAUGCGAGGAAGACCAAAAGGAUCUUUAGGACAGUGUUUGUUGAGAUCGGUGUAAUCAACGCACAUUCUCCAUUCAUUAUUCUUUUUGCGUACAAGAACCGGAUUGGCGAGCCAAUCGGGAUGAUACACUUCUUUUAUGAAUCCGGCUGCUAGAAGCCGUGUUAUUUCUGUCCUAAUAGCCUCCUUUUUGUCACGAGCGAACCGUCGCAGUUUUUGCUUGAUUGGUCUUGCGGUCUUCGAGACAUUUAAGGAGUGCUCGAUCAGGUUUCGUGGGACACCGGGCAUGUCUGCGGGUUUCCAUGCGAAAACGCUCACGUUGUCCCUUAGAAACCUGACGAGCGCGUCUUCCUAUUUUGGAUCCAGGUUAGCCCCGAUGAGGGCUGUCUUCUCGGGGUUGCCUUCGACCAGCUGCACUUCUUUGUACUCCUUGGAUUUCGAAUUCUUUCUGGCUGUCUCCUGCUCAGGUAAUCGGAGCUGGUCGGGAGGCAGCUGUGCGGCUUGGUUUGCUGUUUCCGCCAUGCGGAUUGAGAGGUCAAUUGCCUCGGUGAUCUUGAAGCUUUCUUCUUCGCAGGUGUACGCAGUGUAGACGUUGCCUCUGACGGUUAGGACACCCUUCUCCGUGGGCAUCUUAAGGACUAGGUAUGAGUAGUGCGGGACUGCCAUGAACUUUGUCAGCGAUGGGCGGCCCAGUAUGGCGUGGUAGGUCCCGUCGAAGUCCGCGACUACGAAGUUGAUGAACUCCGUCCGGAAGUGAUCGGGUGUGCCGAAUUGGACAGGCAAUGUUAUUUGUCCGAGGGGCACCGAACUUUGACCUGGCAAAACCCCCCAGAAUUGGGCGUCGUAAGGUUUUAGUUGCGCCGGUGAUAUCUUGAGGGCGGGCAGGCUGUUGCGGAAGAGGAUGUCGAUGGAGCUUCCCCCGUCCACGAGCACGCGCUCGAAUCUGAUGCUAUUGAUGCAGGGAUCAAGAAUCAGUGGGAAACGACCCGGCUCUAGGAUAGCGGCCCACUGGUCCUUCCUGCUGAACGAGAUCUCCCUGUGGGACCACGCGGGAAAUUUCGGAUCUGCGAUCAGCCCGUCCGUGCUGUCUAUGUUGAGGCAGGCUCUCUUUAACAGCUUUCUUUCUCGCUUGGACUCAGUGGAGACCUUGCCCCCGAAAAUGGAGUGGACCACGUCGGUGGGGCUGACGUAUUGGUGUCGGGGGUCCCUGUCUUGGUCCUCAUCCUCAUCUUCGUGGUCGUGCCCGUCGCGCUUGUUAUUUUUCUUGGCGGAGUCCUCUUGGGCAGCCCGCCGUGUAUAGAUACUUUUGAGGACGCGGCACUCUUCCAUGGUAUGGUUAGACUUUGGGUGUAGCUGGCACGGUCCCUUCAACGUUUUGUUGUAGUCGUCUUGGUAGUCCCGUCGUCCAUUGGGACGUUUGACCGUAUUUACUUCAUGGUCGUAUUCGCGAGGGCGCUUUCCUCUGAAGUCAUCGCGGCUGUCGCGCCGCCGAUCCCAACCCUCUCGGUGAUCGCGGUUGUCGGAGCGGCGGUGAUUUCUGUUGUCGUAGCGACCACGACCGUCAUCUCGCCGGGAGGGCUGGUCGGGGCCUCUCGCAUCGUCUCGGAUUAGUUUUUCUGCGUCAUCAGCAUCGGCGUAAUUUUUAGCCGUGGCGAGGAGCUCUGCUACCGUUGAUGGGCGCUUACGCAACAGCUUGUUCCUCAGCGCUUCAUGGAAACGCAAGCCCUUGAUAAAGGCUGAUAUGGCCUCGUCAUGAGAAAUUUUCGGGAUUUUGAGGCGCAUAUCCGAGAAUCGUCGGAUGUAAUCGUGCAGAGGUUCAUUCUUCCUGUCUCUUAUCCUUUCAAGGUCAUACUUGUUUCCGGGCUGCUCGCAUGUGGCGAUGAAGUUGUCGAUGAAAGCCUGUCGUAGCUCUUCCCAAGAGUCGAAGGAGUCCUCGGGCAAGCCGAGAAGCCACUGAUGACCAGCCUGGUCGAGGACUACGGCGAAGUAGUUAGCCAUGACGUGCUCAUCUCCUGCCGCUGAUCGGACGGCGAUUUCAUAGAGAGUGAUCCAGUUCUCUGGAUUUUCCAUGCCGUCGUAUUUUUUAAGUUUUUCGAGUUUGAAAUUGCGGGGCCACACGACCUGGCGGAGGUGUGAGGAGAACUGCCUUAGGCCCGGAGGACCGUGAGUUGCAUCGUACUCGAUGCGGCGCAGGUUUUCGUGGGCUGCCCUCUCUGCGGCGCGCCUGUUGAUGCGGUCCCGGGCAUCUUUGGGAGGGAUGUUGUGGCGGAGAUCCCUGUGUUGAUUUUCUUCUUGGCCACGUGCGCGGUUCUGCUGGCGGCGGCCAUCGGCGUCCCGACCACCAUCGUCGCGCCGUGAGUCCCCUCGACAGUUGUCGGGGGAGCGGCUGCGGUGACGCCUGCUGGGUGAGGCCCGGCUACGAUUAGUCUGGUCGGAGGCGGCUUCCGUAUAAGAAACGUCCUGGACUCUCUUGAGCAGAGUGGCUGUCUGUCCCAUUGCGGCGAUCAGGUGUGCUCGGAUGCUGGUCCGGACUCCCUGGCAUUCGGGGGUGUCAGGAAGCCGAUCCAGGUUGGCCAUGGCGACAGCGACGUUGGCGCUUGGCGUUUUGUAGACCGGCUGGUCCCCGACCAUGUCAAAGGCAUCGUUGAGGUUACUUGGUUGCAUCUGUUGUUGCUCGUCCGCACGCCGUCGGGCGCGAUCGGCGUUACGCUGUUCGCGGAGUUGCCUUUGGUCAUCUGUUUCUCCGUCAACAGCCGGUUCGUCGGCGCUGACAUUGAACACAAUAUCCCCUUGCCGGGGGGGGAAUAUCGGGAAUCGGUCUAAACCCGGAGGGUGUGAAGGAAAAUCCAGGUCGUAGCCCUCAUCUUCGGUGUUUAUAACCUCGGUGGGGACGGAGCCGGUGCUUGAGUUGGUGCUGGAAACCUGGCCGUCCCGUAGCUCUCGGAUUGUCACCAUGUUGACAUGGUGACGAUUGUUCCUUGUCGGCGACCAGCCCGCUUUGCUGAAAACGGAUUGGACAUGCUGUGAGUAAACAGAGGCCGAGUUGUUCAGGCCGCAAGGAUAGUCUUCCUUUUUGAGCUCGACGGAUCGUCCUGAGGGGGUUGAGGUUAUCGUCAGGGACGUUCCCAGCCGUUCGUGUGUGGCGACACGAGUUGGCCGGCGGGAUUUCGAAAAAUCCGCUCGAGCAGCUUGGUCGGGCCGGCGCAGAACUCCAUCUAUUAGUUGGGAGACUUCGAGUUGCUUGGAGUCAGCGCGAUCGAGCGCUUGGAGGAGGUCCGAGCAGUCGAUCUCCUUUCCCUUGUAGAGUGGGAACGGUGGUCGGGAGCUUGGUGCCGUCAUGCGAGUGGUCGGAGACGGCGUGAUCUCAGAUUGGAUCUGGAUCUCUUUCGGAACCGUGGUCGCGAAGCCGCCGCUGCACGUCGUCCACGUGACCUGGCCGACGGUGAACGUGAGGCCUUCGGGCACGGUCGCGGAAGCUGGGAUCGUGACCAUCUUGUUCGCUGGAAAAGUUGCACGCACACCCCCUACCUGGCGCGCCACUGUCGACGAAAGCUAGUCGGCAGUCUACCUUGGGGUAUACCCACGGUAGUAGUUUAUCGGUAGACGGUGCGCAAACUACGAACUCGAUGGUGACGCAAGACACGGACAAGCUUUUUAUCCAGGUUCGGCCGCCGAGUUGGCGUAAUACCUACGUCCUGCGUCUGGUUGUAUUGGAUUGUGUUGAGAGAUAAUGAUGUCCUAGGGGGGUCCCUUGCCCCUCCUUAUAUAGUCUGGAGGGCAGGGUUACAGAUCUGGAAACUAAUCCUAGUCGGUUACAAUUGCCAUAGAUAAUUCGAUAUCAAUUCCUAUUCUAACCGACUAGAAUCCUGCUUGAUCUCCACGUCUUGUUUCCUUGCGCGAAACUCCGAGCUGUCGGAUCAAGCCUUGAACUUGUCUCGUAGUGGGCCAAGCUUCCUGGCUGAAGUCUAGCCGUAAGGGUAUAGGGGUUUAUACCCCCACAGGUAAAAGCUACAACGGUAUCCGUGAGCUUGCGGAUUAUCUGUGUGCAUAUAAAUACCAUAGUACACUCUAGUGCCAUGCUGGGGAUGACAACCUAGUAUUCAAGUGGUGUUAGCAAGUGUCAACAGUGAGCACUUGACAUGAGCCCUGUCCUCGUAGUAAGGACUAUGGAACACUUGGGUUAUGAUGAUAAAUGAUUUAUGAAUGCUAUGAUGAGGUACCAUCAUAUUACUACACUUGUUUGGAAUAGUACAGGUGCAAACCUAGAUAAUAGGUAAUGAUGAUAUCGAACUUGAGCUAAUUAAAGAAGAAAGGUUAUUAGACUAUGUUUUAGUGGAGUAAUGCUCUUAUGCAAAAAGUCUCAGCUACCCCACCAUACAGCCUACAUGAUCCUUGAAGAGUCUUUAUUUUGGUUUAUAACGGGUAAGUCUAGGUGAGUACAUUCUCGUACUCAGGGUUCUAUUCCCAUGUUGUUUUGCAGAUGGGCAAAUGUACUAUGGUUAUUGCAUCCUCUGCUUGUACCCAGCAAUGGGCGAUGACUAGACCAAGGGCGAUGGUCACUCUACCCUCUCUUUUGCUUUUGUGGGAAUGAUCAACUAUGGCACUGUAUCAGACUAAAUGUGUGUGUGUUAUUUUCGAACUAUGAAGCUUCCGCUACUUGAGAACUUGGUUUGUAAUAACUUUAAGUACUCCGAUGUAUUUGAUGAAUGUUGUGAAUUGGAUGUAAUUGUGAAUGGUGACCUCUGAACUUAUUACGAUCUUGGCUGUACGUACGAUUUGUGGUUUGAAAACCUUUGAGAUUUCACGGACUACCGGGAUUAUAUGGGUUUAAGCUCGGUGGUUUGACUGUGCAAAUGGUCACUAUCAGGCUUAAUCUCUUAUAAUUUGGGCGGUUCUGUUACAGCUGGUAUCGGAGCAAGGUUUAGCGAGUUACUGUUCAUAAGUACGUCCUAAACUAAACUUAAACCGGUUUAAUAAAAGGUUAUUAUCAAUUAAUGAUAAUCAAGGUGUUAAAAUGAGUUUUUGGAAAACUAUCUAGUGUGCCAUGGUCAUAUCCUUUAUGCCCAGUUAAGGACCUAAGGUGGCUAGUUAUGUACUGACUUGGGGGUUAUGCAUCAUAUUUCUAUUUCGUCACUCAUACACCGUGUAAUAGUAUGAGUGCCAUUCAUUUGAGUGGUAAUGUAUGGAUCAAUUAUUCCUCUAUGCCUUGGUAAGUGGGAGCUGUGAGAGCAUGGUCAGAUACACUGCCGAUCUAGGGAAGUGAUUUAGGUGCUGUGUCAUGCACACAUGUUUGGUGUUCCCGGGAACAGUACCGUAUGUUGGGAGAUUCUGUCUUGAGAGGCGAUGCCGUCACUAGGGUGAUGAUGUGGGUAGUAACACGCCAUAUUCAUGUACGCGGUGUCUAUGUGUGCGGGGUGUAUAGCUUUAAAUUCUUGUUUUGCAUGUUCAUACUGUGGUUGGGCUGAAAUGAGUUUUCUGCAGGUACACUAACUACGUUCUCGCCUAGAACGCUAGUUACGUUAUGAGAGAACUUUGUGUGCCACCACAUAUACCGAUUAAUGUUAACUUUUGAUUCUGAGUUUGUGAGAUCGUAAGUUCAUGCAUGCAUCAUGUUCAUUCCAUAUCAUUGCUUACUUCCUCCCCUUAAUUAAAUCUGUCCCACUUUCAAUAAAGAUAACAAAAGAUAAUCCUCAAUCUUACCCAAGGUAUUCUAUUUUCUGCAGAUGGCACGCACUAGGCUCACCGCUCGCAAGUCCACUGGUGGGUGGGCCCCUCGCCAUCAGUUGGCAGCCAGGAGCUCGCGUCAUAAGAGCAAGUUCCUAGAGGAGUUUGGGAUGCCCACCUUGCUUUGGAGGGUGCUUAGCUCGAUGGGGUAUCCCGAAGGAAGGGAACCUCGCUACUAUUGGAACAAGGAGUUGCUUGGUGACGGGACCCUGGUUGGGAUCGAGGCAGUGGUCCCUACCAGUGGAGGUGACCCCGCCUGGGGCGGCUGGGUGUACGAGUCUCGAGGUACCACGCCUUUCUAGGGUGCCAGCAGAGCAGCUUUCGCAGUUCUGAGGGACAUCAUGGAGAGGUUUCCACAGGAGCUGGCCCACGCCUUUGCUGGGGUGUUUCCCCGGGGUGACCCCUGUUGACGGUCCUUAAGUACCAAAUAUUAUCAUCAAAUAAAUAAAGAAAAGGAUCAAAAUGCAACCAACACCUAGACUUAGGGGUUUUAUCUGAUAGAAUUCCACGAGUUUUGGUGUUUGUCUAUUUCUGCAGGGGGUUAUCAGGAAAUACGGUAGAAAGCCCCACACGUCAGGUUUACAUAGAGAUAUUAACAUGCCGCGCAAUUUUCUAUCAUCUAGAAGACUCCAGAAGCCACGGGAACGAACGGGAAGGCGAAUGGGCACGAGGGCAGGGCGCCCGCCCACCCCCCUUGGGCACCCGCCCUGACCUGGAUUCGUUUUAGAACUCUUUUCGGGGACCAAGCUCCACUGACCUAACGGAUGAAGGAUAACCAUUCAAUCAAUAUCAGUUUGAUCCAACGGCCCAUAUUCACUCGAGGGGACUAUAAAACCAGACCCUCUGGCCCCUGGAGGAGACAAGUUCAUCAUAGAGUUGAGAGGAGCCCCGAAGGAAUACCUCUCCUCUAAAUAAAUAUUUAUUUUAGGCUUAGCAUCCAAUGUGAGUAGAAUUAGAUCUUCUAGUUUCUAAUAGAUUGAGAGAUAUAGAUUGGAGGUGUAGAUCGGAGUAAGCCCGGCCUGUCGGUGUCUACUCCGAGGUUGUACCUGCCGGAUCAAGUCUUCUAACCCGAGGCUUGCUCCUAGGAUUCUUCAGUAAUUCGACUUCUAAUUCUUGUAAGUUCUUGUUUUAUUGUUCUUUAGUUUAUGAGUUUACUUUAAUCCCUUCCGGUUGAGUAUUAGAGUAAUCAUUGCUAGCGUAAAUGUGGUGUUUAGGCUUCAGUACUCAUAGAUAUCCCCUGACUAGCUGGACUGUGGUAGUAGCGAGGAACGUUGUUGAUAUUUGGUAACGCAAUAAGGAAAAGAUCCGCAAGCACACGGAUAUCGGUGAGCAUUUCAACCGGGAGAUUUUCCAGAGUAUCGUAUUUAUAUUUUUACCACUGGGAGAAAGGGUGCAUCUGACUAACCAAAUCUAUUGCUACUACCCCUUUAGGCUACAAAGAAUGUUUCUCGAUGUGAGUGAUGUAUAGAGAAGACUGCAACCGUAGUCUCGUUCUAACCUUGGUAAGGAUGAUCUACUGUUCUAUUGGGGAGGCUCAUGGAAUCUAAACAACACAAAGGAUGUUCGAACCGCACCUAUAACCCUACCCGUCCUGCUAACAAGAUAUGGGAUACAAAGGUAACUCGGAAAUGUCACGUUCCUCGCUACUACCACGGUCCAGCUAGUCAGGGGAUAUCUAUGAGUACCCUAGCCUAAACACCACGUUUACGCCAGCAAUGAUUACUCUAAUACUCAACCGGAAGAGGAUUAAAGUAAACUCAUAAACCAAAGAACAAUAAAACAAGAACUUACUAGCAUUAGAAGUCGAAUUACUGAAGAAUCUUAGAAGCAAGCCUCGGGUUAGGAGACUUGAUCCCGCAGGUACAACUCGAAGUAGACACCGACAGGCUGGCCUUCCUCCGAUCUACACCUCCACUCUAUCUCUCUCAAUCUAGUAGAAACUAGAAGAUCUAUUUCUACUUACAUUGGUUGCUAAGCCUAAAAAGAAAUAUUAUUUAGAGAACAGGUUUUCCUUCGAAGGCACCCCUCAAUCUCUAUGAUAAUUUCUUGUCUUCUCCGGGGGCCAGGGGGGUCUGCUUAUAUAGUCCUCCUCCUCUUUGCAUUUUUGGUUCAGCAGGCGAUGUGGUACUAAACUUUCCACCAUAUCUCAUUAAAAUGCACAUAGGCCUUAAUGGACCAAAAUCUGAUUUGGGCCCACUUAACCCCGCAACUCUUUUAUGUGGAGUCCUUCUUUUAUUAAUAUCUUUUGAUUCCGAACUCCAAAUAUAGCAAAUAAUAUAUGCAUUUCGAUCAGCUCGACGAGAUCUUUGUAAUGGUGUACUCCAUUCUGUGAUUGGUGGAAACACCUGGGCGGGUGCCCAAGGGGAGAGGGCGGGCGCCCUGCCCCCGGGCCCGUUCGGCCUCCCGUUCGUUCCCGUGGUUUCUGGACUCUUCUAGAUGAUAGAAAAUUGCGCGGCAUGUUAAUAUCUCUAUGUAAACCCGACGUGUGGGCCUUUCCUUCAUAUUUCCUGAUAACCCCCUGCAGAAAUAGACAAACACCAAAACUCGUGGUAUUGUGUCAGAUAAAACCCUAAGUCUAGGUGUUGGUUGCAUUUGGAUCCUUUUCUUUAUUUAUUUGAUGAUUAUAUUUGGUACUUAAGGACCGUCAACAACUCCCCCAAGCUUACCUCUUGCUCGUCCCUGAGCAAGGAUGAACUCAAGAGUUUCUGCAGUGGUUUCAUGCCUUAAAAGUACACACGCAUUCAAGCAAGAUCUCAUCUCUGAGUUAGAAUGAAUUGUUAAGAUUUAAAACUUACUCAUUUUACCUUUCACCAUGGGGCUUGUAACCGUCACUUGUGUCUUGAGCAGUUAAAAGAUAGAACGGUCAAGUCAAGCGCCAUGUCUCUUAUUCUUGAUCAGCUAUAGCUCUAGAGUUUUUGUAGAUUUUCAAAUAAAACUCAGAGAUUCCUUAUAUGACUUCUCAAAACUCUCUUUUGUGGUAUUUCUGGAUCCUUACCAGGGCAGUAAUGAUAUAUGCCUUCUCUCAAAGUAUGUAGUAUUUGUGGUAUGAGGCAUAGUGAUAUUGCCUUCUCUCUCACCCUACUCUAAUAAGGUUUUGAUAUCUGGAGCUCAUAGGUGGGAGACAGCUAAUACAUACUUACAAGACAUUUAUUGCAUAGUCAAACCAUGGAUCCAGAGAAACAAGUCAAUAAGUCAAAUCAAGAUGUGCAUGUGUGGCGAGUGAAUGGUGUAUGGUGAUGAUGGUGAUAACAAUGGUGAAAGUCUAAUUCUACUCUUUGCUCUUUUUAGGGGAUACAUACCUUUCUUGCACUUUGAAGCUUUUUGAGGAGAAUGAGAUGCUCUAUAUUUUCUUUUUCUUUCCUCUCAGGUGGGUAUCUUGUACCCCUAAUUCUACUGGUGGACACUUGUCCAUUUUUACCUCUCGUCUCAUUUUUUCUUUUCUUCGAGGUUCCGGGCACUUGCCCCUUUUUGUUUCCUCGUAUUAUUAUUAUUAUUAUUAUUAUUAUUAUUAUUAUUAUUAUUAUUAUUCUCUUUUUUUUCUCUUUUUUAGAGCACUCAUCUCCUGAAAGAAUGUAGCAAGUGGUAGUAACCAAAAUAACUGGAGCAUUUAUUUCACAGGGAAUAACAGGGAUAGGAAAAUAUUUUUGGCUAUUCUCUCCUGGAUAGGAGUACAAUACUUUUGGGUGGUUUUGGAGAUGGAAAUGAGUGGAUAUAUGUGGAUGGUACUUCCGGAGUAGAAGUAGCAUGUAUGAGUGAACGUGCAAGUGAAUCUUGAUUUUAACCACAUGACAAGCUCCUAAGGGUCUACACAGCUUGACCACACUCAAUGCUCAUAAGCAGUAAAAAGUAAAUAUGUGGCUCAAAGUCUAGCAAGCAUGUAUAUAUGGCUGUGGUAGGAAUUUAAACUCUCAUCAUACAGGAACUCAUCAUGUGAUAUUUUAAAGAUUUUUCAAAGAUAAAAUUCUCCAGAAUUCUAGCAUUUCUAGGAACAGAUAAACAGCAGCUCAACCUUCCCAUAUCAUAUCCGUUAACAACUUAGACAUUAGAUCAAAUACUCUUACCACAAGUUCAGAUUUAGAGCAAAUCUUAAUUCAUAACAGUCAUGCCUAAACUUGAGAUAGAUUUUAAUUUUAAGAACUAGUCAUGGCAGAGCAACUAUUCAUCAUUUCCAUGUGAGAGUUUAUCAUGAGGGUUCAUAGCAAACUUUAUUUAUUUAUUUAUUUAGCAAACUAAGCAAAGAUAUAUAUAAAAGCACAAAAUAUUUAUUUGGGUUUUUUAUGAUUAUGCAUCUUUUAUUAUUUGAGUAAAGUAUAAACGCGAGUAGAAACACUUAGCUGGAUAAAUGGGGGUGCUCUCCCCCAAGCUAGAUUUUGACGUAAUUUCUUCUGAUGUAGCUAGCAGGUGAUGUAGGUGUAUUUGAAUGUCGGCAGCACCCUGACAGCGAUUAGGAUGUCCUCCGUCUGCUAGUCUUCUUUGAUCCUUGAAUUCUGUAGAGCUCAAAUAGACAACAAAGCUUUGUGGAACUGGUUAAGUGUUAGCAUAAAUAUCUAGCCUUUAUCAUGUUGAGCCUCCUCCUAAUAAAUUUUAUUUAUUUAGCAGGAUCAUGCACUUAUUAUUUUUAUAUUUUUAUUGUAAGAUGAAAACUUAUUUAUUUUAUUUUUAUGCCACCAAAGUGAAUGUACUUAUGGGUUUUAUGCCAUGAGCAUACUCACAUGGGGAUUACUUUUUUUUUAACAUUUUAUUUUCUUUUCAAGAUAGCAUGAACCUGAUUAACUAAGCAACCUAUAAUUGAAUAAUUGAAAGGAAAAGGAUAACUACCAAGUUUACCUCUUGGCAAGGCGUUCGGUGUUUUUAAGUCCUCCGAACGGGACUCCUUGUAUUUUCAGUCGUCCUGGGAUUCGCUAGGUGGCGUAGUCGGUGGUUCCGGCGGCGCCUCCUCUUCGUGUGUAACUAUCUUCUCUCUCCAUACCUGACUCGGUGCUACGGUCUCCUCAGGAUAGUUCUGUUCAAGGUAUAUGUCUUCAGACCUUAUCACUUCUCCUUCGUAGUCUACCCAUCCGUCCUUGAUGAUUUGCCUCCUCUGGUUGCGGUUGCGUUGUCUUCUUCUUGUCCUGACCUGCUUAGAAUCUUCAACUAUAUAGUUAAGGUCAGUAAAAUAGCUGCGUACCUUCUCAGAGGGGAAGUAUAUGUGGACUUCUCCGGUUCCAAUGUAGAUGAUUGCUUUGAUAGUGUUGAGGAACGGUCUUCCAAGGAUGGUGGGUGGAUCGUACUCGUCUUCUCCCAUGUCAAUGACCUGAAAAUCAUCUGGAGCUGAAUGUAUAUUGGUUGUAGAAGCAUGGUCCCAUGCAGGAGCUGAUAAGUGACUGCGGCCAUUAUGUUGACGUCAGAUCCGGUGUCGUAGAGUGUCUUCUAAAAAGAGUAUCUGUUGAUUGUGCACUCGAUGCUUGGAACACCAGGGUCGUCCUUCUUGAUCAAGAAAGGUGACUUGAGUCGACGAUCUUGAUCUCCUCCGACAAGGAUCCAAUGUUUUAUGUCUUCUGGACAAGACUUCUCACCGUCUUCAUCCUUUAGGUGCAUUAUUUGAUUAGGUGUGGACCUUGACGUCUGCACCUCUUGAUAUGGUGUCACCUAUAUUCUUUGAUUGCCCAGCAAUUCGAAGUGCGGUGUUGGCAAUAUCCUGCUCAGUGUGUUUGUGCUCAUAGAUCCAAGUCCUUCACUUGGUGGAGUCUAGGAGUUGUAAAACUCCUUCAUAUUAUGCUCAAAGUGUUCCUGCUCAUAGAGACAAGGCAGAGAUCAAGUGCAUCGGCCCUGUUGGUGGAAAACACCAACAGAACCAAAAGUGUAUUUGUUCUUCUCUAACCUUAAGCAUAGUGAGCAAGACAAAGUUGAUGGAUCAUGAGUGUAGCAUUUGAAACAUUUGUCAGAUCAGAUGGCUCAACCUAAUGGAAAGAUAGUCUAUCUAUAUUUAUGUUUUGUUUAUAUCUUCCAAAGAUUGAAUGUGCAACAUAUUAGCUUAUAUGAUUAGGAGUGUGGGAUCAUGAAGGUUGUACUACGAUUAAAGAUUAAAGGACUAAACAUGUUGAUUUAAUUGAGUUGAUUAAUUUGGAGCUACAAAUCAUACAUGUUUGUCUCUUUUAUUCAUGUGUAUGCCAGAACCA